UUUAUCAGAGAGUUUGAUCCUGGCUCAGGAUGAACGCUGGCGGCGUGCUUAACACAUGCAAGUCGAACGGGAAACAUUUUAUUGAAGCUUCGGCAGAUUUAGCUUGUUUCUAGUGGCGGACGGGUGAGUAACGCGUGGGUAACCUGCCUUAUACUGGGGGAUAACAGCCAGAAAUGACUGCUAAUACCGCAUAAGCGCACAGAACCGCAUGGUUCGGUGUGAAAA
rnacentral:rRNA from 1 species